rnacentral:rRNA from 1 species
GAUGAACGCUGGCGGCGUGCCUAAUACAUGCAAGUCGAGCGAAGCGGGGACGGGUGUGUGAAACGUCGGGAAACCGCCAGAAGACUGGGAUAACUUCGGGAAACCGGAGGUAAACCGGAUAAUUUUAGAUGGAUCAGUGCGGCAUUAGCUAGUUGGUAAGGUAACGGCGUACCCAGGCAACGAUGCCUAGACGAGCUGAGAGGAUGAUCGGCCACACUGGAACUGAGACACGGUCCAGACUCCUACGGGAGGCAGCAGUAGGGAAUCUUCCACAAUGGGCGAAAGCCUGACGGAGCAACGCCGCGUGAGUGAUGAAGGUCUUCGGAUCGUAAAACUCUGUUAUUAGGGAAGCGGUACCUACUCAGAAAGCCCCGGCUAACUACGUGCCAGCAGCCGCGGUAAUAC